UGGAACCAUUCCAAGAAGGAUCUUUUGUUUGGAAGCUAAACCCCCUCAAUGAUCAGACGAACCCUCAAGGAACCCUUUGUGCUAAGAACGUGAUGGAGUCACUCAGGAGAUUUCAGACACGUCUACACGAGUCGUCUCACCAUCAGUCAGGGCUCAGAGUCCAGCUUUAUAGGAGGCUUAGGACCAGGAACUAUCAAAAGAACCCCUGUGUGUCUGUGUGUGUGUGUGUGUAUUAACUGGAAUAAAUUCAGAGCCACUCGGUCACAGCGACCUGCACAGAACACUCAGCGCUUCAUCAUUAACGGGACAAACCACAGGAACCGCACGUCUCCUGAAUGAUGUCAGAGUGGAGACACGAGUGCAGGUGAUCGAGAGAAACACGUCAGAAUAUCCGUCAGUAGUGAAUGUGUGUGUGUGUGUGUGUGUGUGU